rnacentral:lncRNA from 1 species
ACUGCGCGCGCCCUCAAACGCAGCCAGGCCGCCUAGCAACCCGGUUUCCAGCCAGUGUCUCGCCGGAACAAGUGGCCUUCCCUGGAGUUCUGUUCCCACCAGCUGGUCUCGGCUCUUCCCUAUCAUUUCCCCUUCUCCCCUCCACUGGUUCCAAUUUCGCCCACGGUGUGCGUCCCAAAACGCUGAACCGGCUCCUAAAAUGAGUACUCGUGGUUUCCGCGUGGGAACCCACCUCUGGGGCCUCUGGCCCGCCCUCCGCUGGCUUAGGUGGCUGCUGGGGCUGGGGCUGCUCCUGGGGCUUCAGGCCGCCCUCUGCGUGGCUUUCUAUCUCCCGGGGUUGGCUCCCGUCAACUUCUGCGAGGCGGACCAAGAGACUGCCACCUGCAAGUCUCUGCAAACAGCAAGUUAAUUUGUACCUCUCAGACUUGCGAGAAUAAAAUGAGACAACGUAUGACAAGCACUGACAAAAACACUUGGCACAUGUCAUCUGUAGCACUAUUUGUAAAUAGUCUGGACUCAGUGGAACCUGCUGUCUUAUGAAUAUAAUAUUUUUAACAAGACAGAAACAUGUUCAAAAGUUUGUGUAAAAUUUUAUGAUAUAGCAAGUGAAGAUCGAAAGAAAAGGCUGGAUUUUUUGAAGAAAGGAACACAGCUGAAUUAUCAACGUCACUGUUUGAAUUCAACAGAAGUAAUACUUUCUACCUCUUCGACCACACUGAUAUUACCGUUACAUAUCCUGGGGAAAGUGAAACAAAUUGGGCUAUUGCAAGUUUGGUUACUGCUUGACUUGAUCUCAAAAGGUAAUUACAGAAUCUUUUAAAUUAAUUAAUUAAUUAAUUAAUUUAAUUUUUAAGUGAUUUUAAUUUUUUCCAUUGUAGUUGAUUUGCAGUGUUUCAUCAAUUUCUACUAUACAGCAAAGUGUGCCAGUCAUACAUAUAUGUACACAUUGUUUUUCUCACACCCUCCAUCCUGUUCCAUCGCAAGUGACUAGGUAGAGUUCCCUGUGCUGUACAGCAGGAUCUCAUUGCUUCUCCACUCCUUAUGCAGUAGUUUGCAUCUACUAACCCCGGACUCCCAGUCCAUCCCACUCCCUCCCCCUCCCCCUAGGCAACCACAAGUCUGUUCUCCAGGUCCAUGACUGUCUUUUCUGUGGAAAGGUGCAUUUGUGCCCUAUAUUAGAUUCCAGAUAUAGGGGAUAUCAUCUGGUAUUUGUCUUUCUCUUUCUGACUUACUUCAUUUAGGCUACAUGUUAAGCAUCUAAGUAGCAUGUAAUGUGAGGAAGAAUUGACAGAUCUGGAAGAGAGCAGACUUUUUUUCCCUCUUUUUAGGGCUGGGUAGGGGUCGAGUCAGAGCUGCAGCUGCUGGCCUAUGCCACAUCCACAGCAACGCCAGAUCCAAGCUGGCCCUGCGACCUACACCACAGCUCACAACAACGCCAGAUCCUUAACCCACUGAGUGAGGCCAGGGAUCAAACCCACGUCCUCAUGGUUAGUAGUUGGGUUCUUUACUGCUGAGCCACAGUGGGAACUCCUGGAAGAGGACAGACUUGUUGAGGGUAUCCUGACUCUCUUCUUCCCUCCCUCCUUCCUUUCUUCUUUCUUUCAGGUCGCACCCUUGUGUAUGGAAGUUCCCAGCCAGGGAUUGAAUCUGAGCUGCAGCUGUGACCUACACCACAGGUGCAGCAAUGCUGGGUCCUUUAACCCACUGUGUGGGGCUGGGGAUCCAACCCAUGCCUCCCAAGUGACCCAAGCUGCUGCAGCCAGAUUCUGAACCCACUGCACAACAGUGGGAACUCAUCUUUAGUGGCUGCCGUGUUAUAAAGAGGUUGGAUUAAGAUCUGUGUUUCUUCAGAGGACAAUUCUAGUACCAAUGGCGUCUAGUAGGCAGGUAUCAGCGGGACUAAGGAGGAGUCUGCUAGCGAUUAAAGCUAAAAGUCAAAUGGGCCAUCUCAAGAAUUAGUGAGUAGUUAAUGCCUGGACAUUUGUAGAAAGAGCCUAGAUGACCCAGCUCUUAGAGAUUUCAUAAUUAGGCACCCAGCGUAGAAUCAGGUCCCUUGUAAGCGAGUUCUUAAUGGCUUGUGAAGGGUAAUCCUGCAUCGUGUCAGAGACCGGACAGGUGACUUUUGAUGUUACAACUUUAAGAUUCUUUGAAACUUUAGGAUAAGAUUAGUUCUCUUCAGUUAAAACAGAUAGAGAGGAGUUCGGGCUGUGGUGCAAUGGGAUUGGCAGUGUCUCUGCAGCACCAGGAUGCAGGUUCGAUCCUCAGCCUGGCACAGUAGGUUAAAGGAUGUGGUGUUGCUGUGCUCGUGGUGCAGGUUGCAGCGGUGGCUCGGAUCUGAUCCUUUACCUGGGAACUCCAUGUGCCAUAUGCCCUGGGGUGGCCAAAAAAGAAAAAAAAAAGAUAGAGAGGGGACUGUAUCAUACAGUGUAUCAAAUCAUAUUCCAUAUGGGCAAAAUGUUAUAAAACCUGAAAUAUUAGGAUGGAGGAAGUUGUCCUUUGAAACCUAUGUGAGGUAUAUUAAAGGAGAUGCUUGUGGUAGAGUAUCGGAACGCAGAACAAGGAAUUAGAUAAUUUGGAUUUUAGUCUCAUCUCUGAUGGUUCCAUUUUUGAAAGUCAACCCUAAAUCCAUAGAGAUGAUUCAGGCUUCAUUCUUUUUAAACCUGCUGGCCUAUUUUACUUUAGCCAAGAGUGUCUCAUCUGUCACAGCUGAUGGCCAAAAGGAAAGAAGAGUUGGAGAACGUACUGGGCUAAGCUUUUGACCAUGGGUGGGUUAAUUUGACCUCUCAUAAAUUUAAUUUCCUCAUCUGCAAAAGGAGAGGGCUAAAUUAGGAUUUUUAAAUAUAGAUCGUGAUGCAUCAAAUCCAGUUUCUAUUGAUGUGUAUUUUUCUGGGAAAAGGUUAAUAUGUUUCAUUAGAAGAAUACACCCCAAAAGAUGAAGAACACUGGUUCUUUCUAAAUCUGAUUUAUCUUAGUAAAAAGGUAUUUGUGGAGUUCCCGCUGUGGUGCAGUGGGUUAAGGAUCUGGUGUUGCCACAGCUGUGGUUUAGGUUGCAGUUGCGGCUCAGAUUGGAUCCCUGGCUCAGGAACUUCCAUAUGCUGUGGGUGUGGAAAAAAAUUUCUUUUAAAAUUAGUGGCUAUGUUAAAAAAUUUGCAGAUUAUUUAUUUCACAAGGAGUUGCAGACAGGAAAUAAAAGAAGAAGGGUAAACAGAGCUGCUAAGAGAGGCCAAGGAACAAUAACCAUUGUCACGGGCAAUCACCCAUGCUUUUUUUGUGUUGUCACUUCUGAUCCCUGGGAACAGAAUUUUAGGUUGAUAGACUGUGAAGUCUGACUCAGGAUGGCUGCUCAUGUUGAAUGUCAUUUGGUAGAAAGGUAGUAAACACAAAACAUGAUACAGGAAACUCAUAUCAUCAGCUACAUGAAAAUCAAAUUUACUGCUUAUGAUCAUAUCUCAUAGUCUCAGAUUUGGAUAGAAUAAAAGAGCCAAGAGAAUAGAGUAACUUUCUAGAGCUGUCUUUAUUCUACCUUGUCCAUAGUAACAGCUGACAUAUGCAUGCAAGAAAACGUUCAUCUGAUCGCAGUAAAACUCGUUUAUUGGGGCCUCCUGAGAACAAGGUCUGUGUUACAAGUCAUCUUUUUCAGAAUUAGGCAGUCUGCUCAGGGUCCUAGACGGGAGUUAGGCCUAAUGGUUUUCUAGGUCUAGCGUCUUGUGCUUUUCUGUUAAUUUCCCUGAUGGUUGCCAUGCUGAUCAUCUCUUUUCGCUUAAAAUAUCUGCCACAUUUGCCUUUUGGUUACCACACUUUCCGGGUUUUCUCCCAUCUCCCUGAUUGCUCAUCAGUCUUCUCAUUUCUCCAACCUCUUAUUUUUGUUUUGUUUUAUUUUAUUUUAUUUUAUUUUUUUGACCAUGCCUCAAGGCAUGGGAAAGUUCCUGGGCCUGGGAUGGAACCCAAGCCACAACUGGAACCAGAGCCACAGUAGUGAUAACACCAGAUCCUUAACCUGCUGAGCCACGAGGGAACUCCUCUUCGACCUCUUAAUGUCGGAGGGCCACAGGAUUCAGUCUUUGAGCUUGUCUCAUGUCAUCAGAUACCAAAAAGACUCUUAGACCUCUAGGCUCAUAUAUGUAGCUGUCUAUGUGACACAUCCACUUGUGUGACUAAAAGGUUCUUUAUUUUAUUUUAUUUUAUUUUAUUUUAUUUUAUUUUAUUUGACCCCUAGCCUGGGAACUUCCAUAUACCGUGGGCGCAGCCCUAAAAAGACAGAAACAAAAUUAUUUUAUUUUGUUUUAUUUUAUUGCUUUUUAGGGCCAUACUCGUGGCAUAUAGAAGUUCCUGGGCUAGGGGCUGAGUUGAAACUCCAGCUGCCAGCCUGUACCACAGCCACCUCAAUACCAGAUCUGAGCCACAUCUGGCAACCUACAUUGCAGCUCACAGCAAUGCUGGAUCCUUCAACCACUGAGUGAGGCCAGGGAUUGAACCUGCAUCCUCAUGGAUACUAGUUGGGUUCUUAAACCGCUGUGUGUCACAACUGGAACUCCCUAUAUAUCUAUUCUUUUUCAGUCUUUUUCAGAUUAUUUUCCCUUAUAGGUUAUUACUAUAUAUAGGGGUCGAAUUGGAGCUACAGCUGCUGGCCUAUGCCACAGCCACAGCAACGCAGGAUCUGAGCUGCGUCUGUGACCUACACCACAGCUCAUGGCAAUGCCAGAUCCUUAACCCACUGAGGGAGGCCAGGGAUCGAACCUGCAUCCUCAUGGUUCCUAGUUGGAUUCGUUUCCCCUGAGCCACGAUGGAAAAAUCUGAAAAUAUAUAUAUUUUUGAAAUGAUUUACUUAAAAUUAAAGUACAGUUGAUUCACCGUGUUGUGCCAAUUACAAAAUAUUGAGUACAAGUCAAAAAAUAGAGUUCUCGUCGUGGCUCAGUGGUCAGCGAACCCGACUAGCAUCCAUGAGCAUGCGGGUUUGAACCCUGGCCUUGCUCAGUGGGUUAAGGAUCUGGUGUUGCCGUGAGCUGUGCCAUAGGUCGAAGAGGUGGCUCAGAUCCUGCGUGACUGUGGCUGUGUGUAGGCCGGCAGUUGCAGCUCCGAUUGGACCCCUAGCCUGGGAACCUCCGUAUGC